AUCCAUCUGACCAGUCCCAAACAAGACGAAACACUCAUCCUGGAU
rnacentral:hammerhead_ribozyme from 1 species